rnacentral:rRNA from 1 species
GUCUAUGGCCAUGCCAUCCUGAACGUGCCCGAUCUUGUCUGAUCUCAGAAGGAAGCAGAGUUGGGCCUGGUUAGUACUUGAAUGGGAGACCACCUCGGAAUACCAGGUGCUGACAACC